rnacentral:tRNA from 1 species
GGGGUUGUAGUUAAUUAUAACAUUUGAAUUGCAAACAGAAAGUACUAAUAUUAUUGGUCUACCUC